rnacentral:rRNA from 1 species
GGUCUAAUACUGGAUAUUGACAUUUCACCGCAUGGUGGUUUGUUGAAAGAUUUAUUGGUUUUGGAUGGACUCGCGGCCUAUCAGCUUGUUGGUGAGGUAAUGGCUCACCAAGGCGACGACGGGUAGCCGGCCUGAGAGGGUGACCGGCCACACUGGGACUGAGACACGGCCCAGACUCCUACGGGAGGCAGCAGUGGGGAAUAUUGCACAAUGGGCGAAAGCCUGAUGCAGCGACGCCGCGUGAGGGAUGACGGCCUUCGGGUUGUAAACCUCUUUCAGUAGGGAACAAGGCCAGCAUUUUUGUUGGUUGAGGGUACUUGCAGAAGAAGCGCCGGCUAACUACGUGCCAGCAGCCGCGGUAAUACGUAGGGCGCAAGCGUUAUCCGGAAUUAUUGGGCGUAAAGAGCUCGUAGGCGGUUUGUCGCGUCUGCCGUGAAAGUCCGGGGCUCAACCCCGGAUCUGCGGUGGGUACGGGCAGACUAGAGUGAUGUAGGGGAGACUGGAAUUCCUGGUGUAGCGGUGAAAUGCGCAGAUAUCAGGAGGAACACCGAUGGCGAAGGCAGGUCUCUGGGCAUUAACUGACGCUGAGGAGCGAAAGCAUGGGGAGCGAACAGGAUUAGAUACCCUGGUAGUCCAUGCCGUAAACGUCGGGGCACUAGGUG